CUAUUAGACCAAACCCUCAGGCGUCUCUGGCGUCUUUGUUGGUGACUCUUGAUAAUUCCGCAGAUCGCAUGGUCUCGCACCGGCGAUGCAUCAUUCAAAUUUCUGCCUUAUCAACUGUCGAUGGUAAGAUAUAGGCUUACCAUGGUUGUAACGGGUAACGGGGAAUUAGGGUUCGAUUCCGGAGAGGGAGCCUGAGAAACGGCUACCACAUCCAAGGAAGGCAGCAGGCGCGCAAAUUACCCACUCCCGGCACGGGGAGGUAGUGACGAAAAAUAACAAUACGGGACUCUUUCGAGGCCUCGUAAUUGGAAUGAGUACACUUUAAAUCCUUUAACGAGUAUCUAUUGGAGGGCAAGUCUGGUGCCAGCAGCCGCGGUAAUUCCAGCUCCAAUAGCGUAUAUUAAAGUUGUUGCAGUUAAAAAGCUCGUAGUUGGAUCUCGAGUGUCCAGCGUAAGUUCACGCUACACGCGGUGUAAUUUGUCGUUGGACCUUUGUCUCCACAUUUGGGGUCGCAGUCUUGACUGAUUGUGUUCUCGGGUGUGGACGUUUACUUUGAAGAAAUUAGUGUUCAAAGCA
rnacentral:rRNA from 1 species